GGGAUGAAAUAUUAUUCAAGUUAUUUUGUAUCUGGUUCUCCGAAAGAUUUGAUUGGUUGCAUUAUUGUUAGGUCAAUAAGCAGGGAUUAGCUUGUUUAUUAUUUAUAUGCGUGAAUAAGGUAAUUUUGUUUGUGGAGUUGAUAGUGCUUAUUUUUAAGGAGUUAUUAUAGAACAGGGGGUUUGUAUUAUUAUUUUGUGGCUGUGUGGUUAUUAGGGGUUACUUUAUUAAUUUUUUUUGGUGAAAUAAUGAUUAGAUUAGUAAAAUUUUAUUUAUUUAAAGCGGGGCUUUAGGGUAUAUUGAUAAUAGGUAUUUUAAUUUUUGAUUGGGGCAGAUGAAUUCGGCAAGGUUAAUUUUUGACUGUUUAGCAAAAACAUUGUUUUUUGUUGGGGUAAAAAAUAAGUUCUGUCCACUGCUAUAAGGUGAAGGGCUGCAGUAUUUUGACUGUAUGAAGGUAGCAUAAUCAUUAGCUUUUUAAUUGGGGGCUGGUAUGAAGGUGAAACAGAGAUUGUCUUUAUUUGUACUAUUAAUUGAAUUUUAUUUUUGUGUGAAAAAUCAUAAUUGAAUUAGAGGGACAAGAAGACCCUAAUAAGUUUUAUUUUUUUAUUUUAUGAUGGUAUAGGUAUUAUUUAUUUGAUUGGGGUAAUGGGGUUUAGCUGGGGCGGCUGUUUAUUUAACAUAAGCAAAUUUUUAACUUUAUUUGGC
rnacentral:rRNA from 1 species